rnacentral:rRNA from 1 species
GACGAACGCUGGCGGCGUGCCUAAUACAUGCAAGUCGAGCGAAUUUGAAGAGAAGCUUGCUUCUCUGAGAGUUAGCGGCGGACGGGUGAGUAACACGUAGGCAACCUGCCUGUAAGACUGGGAUAACUACCGGAAACGGUAGCUAAUACCGGAUAGGUGAUUUUCUCGCAUGAGGAAGUCAAGAAAGAUGGAUCAAUCUGUCACUUACGGAUGGGCCUGCGGCGCAUUAGCUAGUUGGUGAGGUAAUGGCUCACCAAGGCGACGAUGCGUAGCCGACCUGAGAGGGUGAACGGCCACACUGGGACUGAGACACGGCCCAGACUCCUACGGGAGGCAGCAGUAGGGAAUCUUCCGCAAUGGACGAAAGUCUGACGGAGCAACGCCGCGUGAGUGAUGAAGGUUUUCGGAUCGUAAAGCUCUGUUGCCAGGGAAGAACGUCUUGGAGAGUAACUGCUCCAAGAGUGACGGUACCUGAGAAGAAAGCCCCGGCUAACUACGUGCCAGCCGCCGCGGUAA